rnacentral:rRNA from 1 species
CCGUAACUGACGCUGAGGAGCGAAAGCGUGGGAGCGAACAGGAUUAGAUACCCUGGUAGUCCACGCCGUAAACGGUGGGUGCUAGCUGUGGGCCACAUUCCACGUGGUCCGUGACGAAGUUAACACAUUAAGCACCCCGCCUGGGGAGUACGGCCGCAAGGCUAAAACUCAAAGGAAUUGACGGGGGCCCGCACAAGCGGCGGAGCAUGCGGAUUAAUUCGAUGCAACGCGAAGAACCUUACCAAGGCUUGACAUAUAGAGGAAAAGUGCAGAAACGUACUCCCCGCAAGGUCUCUAUACAGGUGGUGCAUGGUUGUCGUCAGCUCGUGUCGUGAGAUGUUGGGUUAAGUCCCGCAACGAGCGCAACCCUCGUCCUAUGUUGCCAGCACGUAAUGGUGGGAACUCAUGGGAUACUGCCGGGGUCAACUCGGAGGAAGGUGGGGAUGACGUCAAAUCAUCAUGCCCCUUAUGUCUUGGGCUUCACGCAUGCUACAAUGGCCGGUACAGAGGGCUGCAAUACCGUAAGGUGGAGCGAAUCCCAAAAAGCCGGUCUCAGUUCGGAUUGAGGUCUGCAACUCGACCUCAUGAAGUCGGAGUCGCUAGUAAUCGUAGAUCAGCAACGCUACGGUGAAUACGUUCCCGGGCCUUGUACACACCGCCCGUCAAGUCACGAAAGUCGGUAACACCCGAAGCCGGUGGCCUAACCGUAAGGAGGGAGCCGUCGAAGGUGGGAUUGGUGAUUGGGACUAAGUCGUAACAAGGUAGCCGUACCGGAAGGUGUGGCUGGAUCACCUCCUU